GGCAGAGUAGCUCAGUGGUCAGAGCGACUGGCUGUUAACCAGUGGGUCGAUGGUUCAAAUCCAUCCUUUGCCGCCA
rnacentral:tRNA from 1 species